UGAGGAAUAUUGCGCAAUGGGGGAAACCCUGACGCAGCGACGCCGCGUGGGUGAUGAAGGCCUUCGGGUUGUAAAGCCCUGUUUGAGGGGAAGAAAGGACAUGUAGCUAAUAUCUGCAUGUAUUGACGGUACCCUCAGAGGAAGCACCGGCUAACUCCGUGCCAGCAGCCGCGGUAAUACGGAGGGUGCGAGUGUUAUUCGGAUUUACUGGGCGUAAAGAGCACGUAGGCGGAUUGGCAAGUCAGAUGUGAAAGCCCGGAGCUUAACUCCGGAACUGCAUUUGAUACUGCUAGUCUUGAGUGUGGUAGAGGGGGGUGGAAUUCCCGGUGUAGAGGUGAAAUUCGUAGAUAUCGGGAGGAACACCAGAGGCGAAGGCGACCCCCUGGGCCAUAACUGACGCUGAGGUGCGAAAGCGUGGGGAGCAAACA
rnacentral:rRNA from 1 species